UAGAUUGAAGCCAGUUGAUUAGGGUAUUUAGCUGUUAACUAAAAAUUCGCGGGAUUAUAGCCCGUCAAUCUAG
rnacentral:tRNA from 1 species